rnacentral:rRNA from 1 species
ACGGAGGAUUCGAGCGUUAUCCGGAUUUAUUGGGUUUAAAGGGUGCGUAGGCGGGUUUGUAAGUCAGUGGUGAAAGUUUCCGGCUUAACCGGGAGAAUGCCGUUGAGACUGCAAAUCUUGAGUGCAAGCGAGGUAAGUGGAAUGUGUUGUGUAGCGGUGAAAUGCAUAGAUAUAACACAGAACACCGAUUGCGAAGGCAGCUUACUAGUAUGUAACUGACGCUGAGGCACGAAAGCGUGGGGAGCAAACAG